UACGAAGGGGGCUAGCGUUGUUCGGAAUUACUGGGCGUAAAGCGCACGUAGGCGGAAAUUUAAGUCAGGGGUGAAAUCCCGGGGCUCAACCCCGGAACUGCCUUUGAUACUGGGUGUCUAGAGUCCGGAAGAGGUGAGUGGAAUUCCGAGUGUAGAGGUGAAAUUCGUAGAUAUUGGGAAGAACACCGGUGGCGAAGGCGGCUCACUGGCUCGUUUCUGACGCUCAGGCGCGAUAGCGUGGGGAUCAAACAGG
rnacentral:rRNA from 1 species